AUAAAGAAAAAAAACAAAUGUAGAUGAAAUAAUAGAUUGAAAUGAAGUAAAAAAAAUGAUUAGAGCAAUUCAAAAUGUAUAUAUAAAUAAUUUUCUAAAAAAAAGAAUAUUAAAAAAAUAUAAAUUGAGUUGAAAGAAAAACUUAAUUGAAGUAAAAUCAAACUUAAGAGGAUAAUUAAUAAAAAAAACUAUUGAAAUAAUGACUAAAUUACAGUACGCGCGAACGUUCAGGGAUCAAAACUGAAAAUAACCCAGAUCCCAAAACAUGGCGCCUAGAUGCGUACCUAAUUGCAAAGACAGGCAAAUUCUAGGGACAAAUUGUAACAACAUAAAAUAUAAAUAAGGAUCAAUUUAAUGGUUUGCGCGAGGACGAAGGACUAGUCACGCAAUUUGACCAUUCGAAGUGCCAAAGCGCGGAUCCAAUACAUGGAUUGGGUGUGCACGCGGAUUUUCCCCAUUUUCUACACGACACCUCUUCAAAUAUUUCAUAAAAAAAAGGAAAAAAAACCUAAAAUGAAUCCCUAAUUUUUCUAAACAAAAUCAAAACAAAGAACCCUUCCCAUCUCUCUCUCAUUCAGCUGAACCUGACAGUUCCUUGCCCCAUUGUCGUUUUGCUUCCAUAUUUUAGCCGACGGACAUCGUGCGAAGGCCUAAUCUGGCCUCGUUCGAAGACGAAUCCUAGAGUUUUGCUAGGCUUAACCUCAAUCCUCAUCUAAGCUUCGACUACCACGAAGCAAACAAGGAUUUCAAAGCCUUUUCGAGAAGAUAAGUAUCUACGCCUUUAUUUAUCUGUUUUUUACUUACAAUAAUGAAAAUCAAAGUAGAAAUAGAAGCCAAAUCAAGAGAAAAAAACGGGACUUAAAAUCACCUCUUGGAAACUGUUUUUGAAUUCAUUUCUCUAUUCAAACUUUUUGUACAGAUUUGUAUGCAUAUCUUCGAUCCCCUUUUUACAGUACAAAUGAUAGCUUUUUUUAGCCGAAUUUUACAGCAUAAAAUAAAAGAAAAAAAAACUCUAUUUUCUUGCUGUAAUUUGCUGUUAUCUGCUACUUGUUAUUGUGGUUGUUAGUCUGUUGCAGGUACGAAGGUCAUGGUGGUGCUGACAUGGCAAAGCCGUUCGUGGGGGUGUGACGCGAAGCGUGAAGCAACGGCGUGUGGGGAACUAAUUCCAGGCGAGACUGCGGCGCAAACUUUCCUAGGGUUUCAGUUCUUGCAACCGAAGUUUAAGACUGUGAUUUGGGCCACUGUAAUGGGUUGUUAGCUUAGUUAAGGAUUUGGGUUUAUUGUUGGAUUAAUAAAUGUAAAUGGACUGGACUUUUAAAUUAUUUUGGUUUUAUUUUAUUUUUAUUUUUUUGUUUUAUUUUUUUGGUUGUGGGCCCGGGAAAAUUUGGGCUUUUACAGCUGCCCCUCUUUGCUCAUUGUCGUGUAACGAGAAUAGAGCAAAGACUUCAAAUAGGUCCAAUUUUGCCCGGUUUUGCUGAAUCUUGACUUCUUUGGGGAGAUAAGACUGGCUUAAAUCUGCUCCAUUGCCUGUACAUGGAGAUAAGAUUUGCCCUCUUCGAUCUACUGCAACGUCAGGGAAAUAAGAUCUUCAAUCUUCAGUCUGCUCCCUUGAUACCUCAGGAAGAUAAGACUUAUUCUUCAAUUUGUUCUCUUGCUACCUCAGAGAGAUAAGGCUGGUGGUAAAAUCUGCUCCAUUGCCGAUACAUGGAGAUAAGAUUCACCAUUUUUGAUCUACUCCACUGCAACUUCAUGGAGAUAAGAUCUUCAAUCUUCAGUCUGCUUUCUUACUACCUCAGAAAGAUAAGACUCAUUCUUCAACUUGCUCUCUUGCUACCUCAAAGAGGUGAGGCGGGUGGUAAAAUCUGCUUCAUUGUCGAUACAUGGAGAUAAAAUUCACCAUAUUCGAUGCACUCCUUUGCAACUUCAGGGAGAUAAGAUCUUUAAUCUUCAGUCUUCUUUCCUGCUACCUGAGAAAGAUAAGACUCAUUCUUUAACCUGCUCUUUUGCUACCUCAGAGAGAUAAGGCUUGCGACUUCAAUCUGCUCCAUUGCCGAUACAUGGAGAUAAGAUUCGCCAUCCUCCGUCAGCUCUGCUACUGCUCAGGGAGAUAAAAUCUUCAAUCUUUAGUCUACUUCCUUGCUACAUCAGGACGAUAAGACUAUUAUCUUCAACCUACUCUCUUGUUACCUUAGAGAGAUAAGGUCAGUGGCUAAAAUCCGCUCAUUGCCAAUACAUGGAGAUAAGAUUUACCAUCUUCGAUCUGUUCCGCUACUGCUUAGGAAGAUAAGAUCUGGGAUUUUCAUUCUGCUCCACUGCAAUCUCAGAAAGAUAAGACUUCAAUCUUCAACAUCCUCUCUUACUACCUCAGAGAGAUAAGGUUUGGGGCUUAAAUCUACUCUAUUGCCGAUACAUGGUGAUAAGAUUUGCCUCCUCCAAUCUUCAAUCUUCAGUAUGUUUCCUUGCUACCUCAGGAAGAUAAGACUUCAAUCUUCAACCUGCUCUCUUGCUACCUCAGAGAGAUAAUGUCAGUGGCUAAAAUCUGCUCCAUUGCCGAUACAUGGAGAUAAGAUUCGCCAUCAUCAAUCUGCCCCACUACUGCCUAGGGAGAUAAGAUCUACAAAUUUCAGUCUGCUUCCUUGCUACCUCAGAAAGAUAAGACUACUAUUGCCAGUCUGAUCCAUUGCCGAUACAUGGAGAUAAGAUUCACUAUAUUCGAUCUGCUCCACUACUGCUUAGGGAGGUAAGAUCUUCAAUCUUCAGUCUGCUUCCUUGCUACCACAGAAAGAUAAUACUCAACUUUCAACCUACUCUCUUGCUACCUCAGAGAGAUAAGGCUGGCGGUAAAAUCUGCUCUAUUGCUGAUACAUGGAGAUAAGAUUCACCAUUUUUGAUCUGCUCCGCUACAACUUUAGGGAGAUAAGAUCUAACUUCACCAAUGUUGCUACAUUGUCCUCUAGGGAACAUGUCCUAUAGACUCUAUUUUAUAUCCACAUGUUUAUGCCAAUUGGUUAAGAUGCCAUGAUAAAAAAGAAUCAAAUGCUCCUAACUAAAUGAGAUAUGAGUGAUGUUAAAUAAUUAGGACACUAUAAUUGAAAUGAAUCAAAUGCUCUUAACUAGAUGUAAUGCUUAUGUCAAAUAAUUAGGAUGCUAUAAUCAAACUGAAUCAAAUGCUCCUAACUAGAUGCGUGAUUUAUUAUGCUGUCAUCUUGUUCGGAUGGUAUUCUUGAUAGAAAACCCAAAGAAACAAUCACAUUCUGCUCAGCAAGCUUGCCCCGUUGUAAUUUUAGAGUCCCUUACACUGUAACUUCUGGGACAUAAAGUUUGAACUUCCCACUGCAACUUCAGGGGAAUAAUCAUUUGGUUUCUUCUAUCCAUCCUGUAACCACUUAGAGGUAUACAAUUUGCAUCAUCUUCAAUCAAUUUGACCUAUUACACCGUUCCCUGGGUAUAAUGAACCAACAUAUAUGCCUGAUAUCUGCAUGAAUACAGAAUACCAUUUUCUUUUUCCGAGAACAAUCCUAUUGCUCAUUCUUGGCCAGGAUUAUAACACCGAUUAAUAUUUCUGACAGAAAAUUCAAGGAGAUAAUCUCAAUUUGGGCUUAAAUAUUUCUAACCCUUAAGCUUGGUGAGUUUUAAACGAUAGUCCUCUUUUAGGCUCCUAUAUUAUUUAGAAAUUUCCCAAAAUAAUAUGCGAAACUCCCUUUAUGAAAGUAUUAUUAGUCCAAAAAUCAUUAUUUCAAUGCAAAAUGCUUGAAAAUGAUCAUAACCAUGGACAAGAAAAGAAUUAAUUGAGAACAUAGCUCAAAAUAAGCAAAUGCUAUCCAAGAAAGAAAUUUACUGGGACGCGACCUGAAAAGAAUAAGGUAAUCAAAGAUAACAACAAAAAAUAAAAAGGGUAAAAAUAGAAAGCUAGAUUCCCCAAAUAUCGCAGCUUGAGCUUCUCUGUAUCAACUUCUUGAGGACCAUUCUGAGCUCAAUCUGUGUUUAGGGGAUCCAGAGUACUUUGUCAAUGCCCCAAUACAUAACAUACUUCUUUCAUUGUUCAUUCAGGCAUAGCAAGACUAUUGUAUGCCCCAUUUUAAUCCAAAUUUGAGCCGCCAUUUUCAGGUUUUCAACUCAAAUCCCCUUUGGUCUCAAAGCGCCCUUUGCGGGUUUUCGCUUUGGCCUCUCUUUUUCUUUCUUUUUUUUUUAAUUUUUUGAUUUUUUUUAAUUUUUCUUCUUUUUUUAUUUUGAUUUUUUAAUUUCGAUCUCUUUUUUUUAAGGUUUCAAGGCGCCCUUUGCGGGUUUUCACCUUGGCCUCUCCCAUUUUAGGUAGAAUACUCUUUGACUGCAUUUUGAAUUCCUCAAAUUGGACAACUCCUUUCGAUCAAUAUCAAUGCUCCUUCAAAACAGGCCUUCUUUACUACAUAAGGUCCCUCUUAGUUUGACAUAUUUUUUUCCUUUAAAGACCUUUUGUAUAAGAAGAAUCUUUUUCAAUAUCAAGCUCCCCUCACGGAAUUCUCUAGGAUAAACCUUUCUGGCAUAAGCCCGCAUCAUCUGACUGUGACGGAUAUCCUUUAAAUUUGACUGAUCAUAUUAGGAUUGGACCCAUUUUGAUUCAUCCAACUUUAGUUCUACCAAGACUCGAAGAAAAGGAAUCUCGUUUUCAAAAACUGUUCCAGUCCUAUAAAUCAAUGUGUUGCCCCGGUGAAGGUCCUGGCCCAUGUUCGAUAAACAUAGAGGGUAAAUGAUAACUUAUUUAUGCCAAUCCUUACAAGACUCGGUGAUUUUUCACUAUGACCUUUGUUUUAUUGUUUGCUUUUCCUUUUCUUUUUUCUAUUUUUGUACUUUUGUUUUUCUUUUUGGAUGCAUUUGUUGUUCUGUGAUAUAGUGUCUAAUCUUUGAACAGACUGCAAACUAUUGACAUUGUGCAGUUGUAUUUAAAAGUGAUCCUUUCUGACAUUACUUGUCAGCAACCCCCUUUUUUUUGGAAUUUGAUGACUGUCAAUCUUGUAAUAUUGACAUAUGAAGCGACCUUCACCCUCUUCGUGAAGUAAUCAAUGACUGCCAAGAUGAAUCGAUGUAUAUUAGACGAGAAUGGCCUGAUAACAUCCUUGCCCCACAUAUAAAAAGUCUGUGAAGAAAUGAAUGAGACACAUAAAUCUUGUUUCUUUAAAUACAACCCAACUAAUGCCAUGCCCUUCCAUGGUGAAUCAACAGUACCCAAACCUCAUGAUUAACGUGGCUACCAUAAAACCAUCUACAUGUGUCUUUCUGACACCGUAUAGACAUUUUUUAUUGUCCAUAGAUCUUAAUAUCACAGGUAUGUCUUGACAUGAUCAUGCGAAAACAUCCUUGAAUUCUUGGAGUAAUUCAAUGACCAUUCAUUUUGUCUUUGUGAUGACUCAAGUUUCGAUCUUUACCUCUUGCUCACAAUGUCCACUGACCCUUUGUAAAGUAGGAUCUAUUUUUCAUCUUGUUCUACCGUACCUAACAAAUCAAGAAAUAAGUCACAAUCUCUGUCAUCUUCAAAGUCCUGAGAUCCGCUUAAACACAUAUCUCACCCCAAAAGGGAGUGAGUUACAGCGUUGCUCAUGUCAUUGAUAUCUGGGGACCUAUUGUAGGUACAAAGAAAAAUUCCAAAGAAGAAAUGAUUCUAAGGAUAAUUAUUUGUAUGGUAUGAUCAUGAAUGAAGAAUGAAAGCAUAUUUUAAAAAAAAUAGUCCAAGGAACAAAAGAAUAAAGAAUGAAAGAAUAUUUAUUCAAAAAGCAUGCAUUUUAUUGAAAUAAAAAUUUUUGGACACAAGCCUAUUUCACAAAAGGAUUCUUAUUACCCCUAGGCUUAAGGCAACAAACGUGUUUUGAACAUUACUCUAGAACAGCUCUGAAAAUACAGGGAUCUCUUCUACAGUCCCAUUGCUUAAAACGCCUCAAAUACAUAAGGGUUUGGAAAUUUUUAUUCCCUGGACCUCUCUUUGGAUACGUCAUUCCAAUUCUCUUUAAUAACUAGUGGUUAUAACCCUUGGCUGGCCUAUGUUGACCAACUUGGAAGGCAUGCUCACGAUGUUCACUUCAUUUGCCUUGUUUCCCGAGGUUGACCUUUUGGCGCUUUCUCCCAUAUCUAUUUUCCCAUUUCUUAUCGCAUCUUCAAUCAUCUCACCGAACAUUACUAUAUCUGAAAAGCUCAGAGUAACGCUUCCCAACAUAUGAUUAAUGAACAGGGCUUUCAGAGUAUUGAUGAAAAGCAUCGAAAUCUCCUUCUCCAAAAGAGGCGGUUGGACUUGUGUUGCUACCUCUCUCCAUCUUUGGGCAUAUUGCCUAAAGCUCUCAUUUUGCUUCUUUUCCAUACUUUGCAGGGUAAUUCUGUCGGGUGCCAUGUCUGUUAGAUGGCUAUACUGCUUCAUAAAAGCUUGUGCUAAGUCUUUGCAUGAAUUGAUUUUAGUACGACUCAACUGAUUGUACCAUUUAGCUGCUGACCCCGAUCAGACUAUCUUAGAAGUAAUUGAUUAACAAUUGAUCGUUAUUAACAUAUCUUGUCAUUCUUCGACAGAACAUUGUGAUGUGAACUUCAGGACAACUAGUACUAUUGUACUUUUUAAACUCUGAAGUUUUAAAUUUUGGUGGGAGUACUAGAUCAGGAACCAAACUCAGAUCCCUAGCGUCAAUCCUACAACAGAAGUCAACAUUCUCCAUUGCUUUCAAUUUUUCCUCCAACCACCUAUACCGAUCCUCAAGCUGUCUUGGUAAUUCCUUCUUUGCUUUUUCUAUUUCAUCUAGAUUAGGAACCUCAAGAUUGGUUGGGCUACCCCCCGGAUUAGAGCCUGAGCCUAUCGGGUAAUCCAUCGGUGUAGAAGUACCGACCUGAUAUUGCUGAUUUUUGAUAAUAGGUAUACCUUGCGGAUAUGUCUGAACAUUUUUGGGGUGAAACCCGGAGGGUAGAGAGGCUCCUCAUUUUCCUUCCCAUAUUGAUCAUGGAGGUUUUCCUUUCUUCAAUCCCCCUUGUCAGCAAUUGAGACAACUGGUUCAACAUAUUCCUUUGAGACUCUAGCACCAGAUCUCUCAUAUCCUGCCUAAUCUUCACCAGUUGCUCUUGCAUUUGUUUUUGUAACUGGUCUUGCAUCUCUCUUUGAAGUUGUUCAAGUUUUUCCAACCAUGGUCCAAAUCUUUUGUCUUAGCACGGGAGUCGUAACGACACUUGGUUGGUAAAUUUUUAUUGGUUCCCAGAUUAACUGAAAUAAUUUUAACUAAUUAGGGACCCUUUUAGGAAAAUCUAAUACAAAUGAUGCAAUGAUGCGAUAAUAUGCAAAUGCAUGGGAUGAAUGCAAAAGAAAUAGAGGUGUUGAUUUUGAAUUUAAUUCCAUUAGAACAACUUUUGUUGAAAACAAAUUCCUUUACAUAAAAUGGAUUACAUAUACGGCCUUGCUUUCAUAUUCCAAGCAAAGACACCAAUCUUUUUUCUUCGUGAAAUCCAAAUCUCGCGAACCUCCAAUAAAUGCAUCCACUAGAUCCUCUUCACUUGAUCCAGGCCACGACUCAUUAUCCUCAUGACAUUGAUUAGCUCCAUUAAGAAAAUCGAGACGCAACGGCUCUCGAACAAUUUUUAUUAGCUUGAAUCUUCAGGUAAAGACUUGUUUUUCUCCACGAAUUGUCAACCUUCUUCCGUCAAUUCAGACAACCGUAUUAUAAUCCACUUUAUUAGGAAAUUCGUUUUCUUAUGACAAACUAUUCUAUUUAGCAAUCAAAUACGAAUCAACGCCUCCCUUCUAUGAUGAUGUAAUGCAAUGCAGUUAUAAACAAAACAAAACACGUUAGUACAAGAGAAAUAAAUAACAAACAAAGUACCUAUUCGCAUGACCACUAAACCUGGGCAAGGUUCUGCCUAAGGCGGACUCUCAAAAUUCACUAUAUGCGGCUCAGUUCUAGAGUAAAGGUUCCCGAACCAGCAAAUUCCUUAAUCCUUACCCAUUAUAGGCUCAUACAGAUCGAGUUCGGCUUAGGGGAAUACAUUUCCCUAUGACCAUGCAGAGAUGAAAAUCUCUUGAAAUCAUAGGUACGCAUGUAUCCCGGAAUCAAUCCACUAGCCCAUAUGGAGGUGAAAACCUCACGAAGGCAUAGCUUCUCACUCCCACUUAAAGGUAUAACCACAGCGGUCAUGCAAUGCAAAGCAAUAUUAUUCUACAAGACCCACCAUCAUACCAACAAAUGUAAUCAAAAGAAUCAUGACUUUCAAAACAAGCUUUCAAUUCCUUCACAAAAGGACAGCAAAUAAUCAAUUUUAUGGCCUGACUCUCUUUGCUUAAUCCCUAGUGGCAUCGCCAAGCUGUCGAAACCAGUUUUCGACUUCUAAAAUUGAAAAUGUGAGUCGCCACCAAUAUUUUGUUUAGGUAUGAUUGGAUCACCUAAUAAAAUAUUUUGUUCCACUUAAAACAAUUUUGUAAAAUUUUUAAAAAAUGGGUUUGGGAGUCGGUUACGCAUGAGGAAGGGUGAGCACCCUCGUUACGCCCAAAAAUUGGUACCAGAUUGAUUCAAUGCUAUCCUUAUAUCAAAGAUUUUAAAAAGGGUGUUUCGAAAUAUGGUUCUUUUAAAAAUGUUUGAGUAGUUCAAGUUAGCUGUCAAAAUUCUCUCGUUUCAAAGAUAUGCAGCAUCAUAUCCAGCACGAUUGGACAUGAUCCUUUAUAUCUUCAAAAAUACGAUUGAUUUUUGACUUUCAAAAGCUCGUACGUUAAAAUUAUAAAAGGAUAUCCAAAUAUUUAGUUCAACGAAAAAUCAUACCCAGCACGGUAGGGCACAGUUUCCCGAAUUCCCAAAUAUUGAAUGCUGCCUUAUUUCAGAACUUUUGAAUAAUAAGGAAUAUGGGAAAUUAACUCAAAAUGCUUUAAUUUUUCUUGAAAUAAAAACGAGACAACUAAUAUCAAUCAAAAUAUUGAAAUUUGAAUCACGAUGCAAUAAUAUAGAAAAAUCAAAGUUACAAACAUGGAUUACUAUACAAAAUAUUAUACAAGUAAAUAAAAAGAACAAAUUAACAUACACACAAUAGCAAUGAGCUCGCAUCCAAGAAACUAAUUAGAAAGAAAUAUAACAAGUUUCGAACAUAGAUGGACAAAAAUUUAAAUAAUAGUGCAAAAGAUUAAUAAUCAAUAUAAAAUGAUAGUAGAUGAAGCAAUAUGAAAACUAAAGCAACACAUAGCAUACAAAACAAUUUGGAAAUAAUUUGAAAACUAUUAAAUAUAUGAAAAUUUACAAAAUGAACAACACAUGGUUGGGUUUGAAAUAAUGUACAUAUAUAAAAAUAAAACUAAGAAUAUGUAAUGGAGUAUUUAAAUAAAUAUUGUGAAAGAAGAAAUUUGGAGCCAAAAACAUAAUAAAACUAAUCUAUUAAAGGUGAUAAUGUACAUGCCAUAAUAGAAAAAUCAAUGUACACAAUAUAUAAAGGAAAUAUAAUAAAAUAAAGGAUAAACAAUAUACAUGAAAAAUAACAAACCAAUAUAUAAUAAAACAAUAUAUACAUGAGAGAAUUUUAAAUAACAAAGAAAUAAUAAUAUAUGUAUUUUUUAAAGAAUAAAUUAUAUACACAAUAAAUUUAAAAGGAAAUACAAAUAAACAUAUUUAAAAGAAAUUAUAUAUAUAAUAACAUAGAAUUAAUAGUGUUUAUAAUAUAAAACUAAUUUUAAUAUAAAUUAUAUUUUACUAAUAUAUAUAUGUAAGGGUAGUUGAAUUAAAUAUUAUGGAAAAAUUUCAAACAAUAUGAUAGUAUAGAAUAUAUUAAAAUAAUAACUAUAUAAUUAAACAAAUAAAGAAAAAAAAACAAAUGUAGAUGAAAUAAUAGAUUGAAAUGAAGUAAAAGAAAAAAAUGAUUAGAUCAAUUCAAAUUGUAUAUAUAAAUAAUUUUCUAAAGAAAUGAAUAUUAAAAAAUAUAUAUAUUGAGAUGAAAGAAAAACUUAAUUGAAGUAAAAUCAAACUUAAAAAGAUAAUUAAUAAAAAAAACUAUUGAAAUAAUGACUAAAUUACAGUACGCGCGAAUGUUCAGGGAUCAAAACUAAAAAUAACCCAGAUCCCAAAACGUGGCGCCUAGAUGCGUACCUAAUUGCAAAGACAGGUAAAUUCUAGGGACAAAUUGUAACAAAAUAAAAUGUAAAUAAGGAUCAAUUUAAUGGUCUGCGCGAGGACGAUGGACUAGUCGCGCAAUUUGACCAUUCAAAGUGCCAAAGCGUGGAUCAAGUACAUGGAUUGGGUGUGCACGGGGAUUUUCCCCCUUUUCUACACGACACCUCUUCAAAUAUUUCAUAAAAAGAGGAAAAAAAACCUAAAAUGAAAACCUAAUUUUUCUAAACAAAAUCAAAACAAAGAACCCUUCUCAUCUCUCUCUCAUUCAGCCGAACCUGACAGUUCCUUGCCCCAUCGUUGUUUUGCUUCCAUAUUUUAGCCGACGGACAUCGUGCGAAGGCCUAAUCUGGCCUCGUUCGAAGACGAAUCCUAGAGUUUUGCUAGGCUUAACCUCAGUCCUCAUCUAAGCUUCGACUACCACGAAGCAAACAAGGAUUUCAAAGCCUUUUUGAGAAGAUAAGUAUCUAUGCCUUUAUUUAUUUGUUUUUUACUUACAAUAAUGAAAAAUCAAAGUAGAAAUAGAAGCCAAAUCAAGAGAAAAAAACGGGACUUAAAAUCACCUCUUGGAAACUAUUUUUGAAUUCAUUUCUCUAUUCAAACUUUUUGUACAGAUUUGUAUGCAUAUCUUCGAUCCCCUUUUUACAGUACAAAUGAUGGCUUUUUUAGCCGGAUUUUACAGCAUAAAAUAAAAUAAAAAUAAAAACUCUAUUUUCUUGCUGUCAUUUGCUGUUAUCUACUACUUGUUAUUGUGGUUGUUAGUCUGUUGCAGGUACGAAGGUCGUGGUGGUGCUGACAUGGCGAAGCCGUUCGUGGGGGUGUGACGCGAAGCGUGAAGCAAUGGCGUAUGGGGAACUAAUUCCAGGCGAGACUGCGGCGCAAACUUUCCUUGGGUUUCAGUUCUUGAAACCGAAGUUUAAGACUGUGAUUUGGGCCACUGUAAUGGGCUGUUAGCUUAGUUAAGGAUUUGGGUUUAUUGUUGGAUUAAUAAAUGUAAUUGGACUGGACUUUUAAAUUAUUUUGGUUUUAUUUUAUUUUUAUUUUUUGUUUUAUUUUUUUGGUUGUGGGCCCAGGCAAAUUUGGGCCUAUACAACUGCCCCUCUUUGCUCAUUGUCGUGUAACGAGAAUAGAGCAAAGACUUCAAAUAGGGCCAAUUUUGCCCGGUUUUGCUGAAUCUUGACUUUUUUUGGGGAGAUAAGACUGGCUUAAAUCUGCUCCAUUGCAUGUACAUGGAGAUAAGAUUUGCCCUCUUCGAUCUACUGCAACGUCAGGGAAAUAAGAUCUUCAAUCUUCAGUCUGCUCCCUUGUUACCUCAGGAAGAUAAGACUUAUUCUUCAAUUUAUUCUCUUGCUACCUCAGAGAGAUAAGGCUGGUGAUAAAGUCUGCUCCAUUGCCGAUACAUGGAGAUAAGAUUCACCAUUUUUUAUCUGCUCCACUGCAGCUUCAAGGAGAUAAGAUCUUCAAUCUUCAGUCUGCUUUCUUACUACCUCAGAAAGAUAAGACUCAUUCUUCAACUUGCUCUCUUGCUACCUCAAAGAGGUGAGGCGGGUGGUAAAAUCUUCUCCAUUGCCGAUACAUGGAGAUAAAAUUCACCAUAUUCGAUCCGCUCCUCUGCAAGUGCAGGGAGAUAAGAUCUUUAAUCUUCAGUCUGCUUUCUUGCUACCUCAGAAAGAUAAGACUCAUUCUUUAACUUUCUCUAUUGCUACCCCAGAGAGAUAAGGCUUGGGGCUUCAAUCUGCUCCAUUGUCGAUACAUGGAGAUAAGAUUCGCCAUCCUGGAUCUGCUCCGCUACUGCUGAAGGAGAUAAGAUCUUUAAUCUUUAGUCUACUUCCUUGCUACCUCAGGAAGAUAAGACUAUUAUCUUCAACCUACUCUCUUGUUACUUCAAAGAGAUAAGGUCAGUGGCUAAAAUCUGCUCCAUUGCCAAUACAUGGAGAUAAGAUUCACCAUUUUCAAUCUGUUCUGCUACUGCUUAGGGAGAUAAUAUCUGUGAUUUUCAGUCUGCUCCACUACAACCUUAAGAAGAUAAGACAUCAAUCUUCAACAUGCUCUCUUACUACCUCAGAAAGAUAAGGUUUGGGGCUUAAAUCUACUCCAUUGCCGAUACAUGGAGAUAAGAUUUGCCUCUUCCAAUCUUAAAUCUUCAUUCUACUUCCUUGCUACCUCAAGAAGAUAAGACUUCAAUCUUCAACCUGCUCUCUUGCUACCUUAGAGAGAUAAUGUCAGUGGCUAAAAUCUGCUCCAUUACCGAUACAUGGAGAUAAGAUUCACCGUCAUCAAUCUGCCCCACUACUGCCUAGGGAGAUAAGAUCUACAAAUUCCAGUCUGCUUUCUUGCUACCUCAGGAAGAUAAGACUACAAUCGCCAAUCUACUCCAUUAUCGAUACAUGGAGAUAAGAUUCACUAUCUUCGAUCUGCUCCACUACUGCUUAGGGAGGUAAGAUCUUCAAUCUUCAGUCUGCUUCCUUCCUACCUCAGGAAGAUAAGACUCAACUUUUAACCUACUCUCUUGCUAUCUUAGAGAGAUAAGGCUGGCGGUAAAAUCUACUCCAUUGCCGAUACAUGGAGAUAAGAUUCACCAUCUUCGAUCUACUCCGCUACAACUUCAGGGAGAUAAGAUAUAACUUCACCAAUGUCGCUACACUGUCCUCUAGGGAACAUGUCCUGUAGACUCGAUUUUAUAUGCACAUGUUUAUGCCAACUAGUUAGGAUGCCAUGAUAAAAAAUAAUCAAAUGCUCUUAACUAAAUGAUAUAUGAGUGAUGUCAAAUAAUUAGGACGCUAUGAUCGAAAUGAAUCAAAUGCUCUUAACUAGAGGUAAUGCUUAUGUCAAAUAAUUAGGAUACUUUAAUCAAAAUGAAUCAAAUGCUCCUAACUAGAUGCGAGAUUUAUUAUGCUGUCAUCUUGUUCAGCUGGUAUUCUUGAUAGAAAACCCAAAACAAUCACAUUCUGCACAGCAAGCUUGCCCCGUUGUAAUUUCAGAGUCCCUUACACUGUAACUUCUGGGACAUAAAGUUUGAACAUCCCACUGCAACUUCAAGGGAAUAAUCAUUUGAUUUCUUCUAUCCAUCCUGUAACCACUCAGAGGUAUACAAUUUGCAUCAUCUUCAAUCAAUUUGACCUAUUACACCAUUCCCUGGGUAUAAUGAACCAACAUAUAUACCUGAUAUCUGCAUGAAUACAAAAUACCAUUUUCUUUUUCCGAGAACAAUCCUAUUGCUCAUUCUUGGCCAGGAUUAUAACACCGAUUAAUAUUUCUGAUAGAAAAUCCAAGGAGAUAAUCUCAAUUUAGGCUUAAAUAUUUCCAACCCUUAAGCUUGGUGGGUUUUAAACAAUAGUCCUAUUUUAGGCUCCUAUAUUAUUUAGAAAUUUCCCAAAGUAAUAUGCGAAACUCCCUUUAUGAAAGUAUUAUUAGUCCAAAAAUCGUCAUUUCAAUGCAAAAUGCUUGAAAACGAUCAUAACCAUGGACAAGAAAGGAAUUAAUUAAGAACAUAGCUCAAAACAAGCAAAUGCAAUCCAAGAAAGAAAUUUACUGGGACGCGACCUGAAAAGAAUAAGGUAAUCAAAGAAAACAACAAAAAAAAAGGGUAAAAAUAAAAAGCUAGGUGCCCCAAAUAUCGCAGCUUGAGCUUCUCUGUACCAACUUCUUGAGGACCAUUUUGAGCUCAACCUGUGUUUAUGGGAUCCAGAGUACUUUGUCAAUGCUCUAAGACAUAACAUACUUCUUUCAUUGUUCAUUCAGGCAUAGCAAGACUAUUGUAUGCCCCAUUUUAAUCCAAAUUUGAGCCGCCCUUUUCGGGUUUUCAACUCAAAUCCCCUUUGGUCUUAAAGCGCAUUUUGCGAGUUCACUUUGGCCUCUCCUUUUCUUUCUUUUUUUUUAAAUUUUUUGAUUUUCUUUUUUAAUUUUUCUUCUUUUUUUAUUUUGAUUUUUUUAUUUUAAUCUCUUUUUUUUCUUAUUUUUUAAGGUUUCAAUGCGCCCUUUGCGGGUUUUCACCUUGGCCUCUCCCAUUUUAGGUAGAAUACUCUUUGACUACAUUUUGAAUUCCCCAAAUUGGGAAAAUCCUUUCGAUCAAUAUCAAUGCUCCUCCAAAACAGACCUUCUUUACUACAUAAGGUCCCUCUUAGUUUGACAUAUUUCUUCCUUUGAAGUCCUUUUGUAUAAGAAGAAUCUUUUUCAAUAUCAAGCUCCCCUCACGGAAUUCUCUAGGAUAAACCUUUCUGGCAUAAUCCCGCAUCAUCUGACUGUGACGAAUAUCCUUUAAAUUUGACUGAUCAUAUCAGGGUUGGACCCAUUCUGAUUCAUCCAACUUUAUUUCUGCCAAGACUCAAAGAAAAGGAAUCUCAUUUUCAAAAACUGUUCCCGUCCUAUAAAUCAAUGUGUUACCCCGGUGAAGGUCCUGGCCCACGUUCGAUAAACAUAGAGGGUAAAUGAUAAUUUAUUUAUGCCAAUCUUUACAAGACUCGGUGAUUUUUCACUAUGACCUUUGUUCUAUUGUUUGCUUUUCCUUUUCUUUUUUCUAUUUUUGUACUUUUGUUUUUCUUUUUGGAUGCCUUUGUUGUACUGUGAUAUAGUGUCUAAUGUUUGACCAGACUGCAAACUUUUAACCUUGUGCAGUUGUAUUUAAAAGUGAUCCUUUCUGACAUUUCUUGUCAGCAACCCUUUUUUUUUGGAAUUUUAUGACUAUUGAUCUUGUAAUAUUGACAUAUGAAGCGACCUUCACCCUCUUCGUGAAGUAAUCAAUGACUGCCAAGAUGAAUCGAUGUAUAUUAGACGAGAAUGACUUGAUAACAUCUUUGCCCCACAUAGAGAAAGUCUGUGAUGAAAUGAAUGAGACACAUGAAUCUUGUCUCUUUAAAUACAGCCCAACGAAUGCAAUCCCCUUCCAUGGUGAAUCAACAGUACCCAAACCUCAUGAUUAACGUGGCUACCGUAAAACCAUCUACAUGUGUCCUUCUGACACCGUAUAGACAUUUUGUAUUGUCCACAGAUCUUAAUAUCCAAGGCAUAUCUUGACAUGAUCAUGCGAAAACAUCUUUGAAUUCUUUGACUCAGGUUUCGAUCUUUACCUCUUGCUCACAAUGUCCACUGACCCUUUGUAAAGUAGGAUCUGUUUUUCAUCUUGUUCUACCGUCCCUAACAAAUCAAGAAAUAAGUCACAAUCUCUGUCAUCUUCAAAGUCCUGAGAUCCGCUUAAACACAUAUCUCACCCCAAAAGGGAGUCAGUUACAGCGUUGCUCAUGUCAUUGAUAUCUGGGGACCUAUUGUAGGUACAAAGACAAAUUCCAAAGAAGAAAUGAUUCUAAGAAUACUUAUUUGUAUGGUAUGAUCAUGAAUGAAGAAUAAAAGCAUAUUUUAAAAAAAAUAGUCCAAAGAACAAAAGAAUAAAGAAUGAAAGAAUAUUUAUUCAAAAAGCAUGCAUUUUAUUGAAAUGAAAAUUUUUGGACACAAGCCUAUUUCACAAAAGGAUUCUUAUUGCCCCUAGGCUUAUGGCAACAAGCGUGUUUUGAACAUUACUCUAGAUCAGCUCUGAAAAUACAGGGAUCUUUUCUACAGUCCCAUUGCUUAAAAUGCCUCAAAUACAUAAGGGCUUGGAAAUUUUUAUUCCCUGGACCUCUCUUUGGAUACGUCAUUCCAAUUCUUUUUAAUAACUAGUGGUUAUAACCCUUGGCUGGCCUAUGUUGACCAACUUGGAAGGCAUGCUCACGAUGUUCACUUCAUUUGCCUUGUUUCCCGAGGUUGACCUUUUGGCGCUUUCUCCCAUAUCUAUUUUCCCAUUUCUUAUCGCAUCUUCAAUCAUCUCACCGGACAUUACUAUAUCUAAAAAGCUCAGAGUAGUGCUUCCAAACAUAUGAUUAAUGAACGGGGCUUCUAGAGUAUUGGUGAAAAGCAUCGCAAUCUCUUUCUCCAAAAGAGGCGGUUGGACUUGUGUUGCUACCUCUCUCCAUCUUUGGGCAUAUUGCCUAAAGCUCUCAUUUUGCUUCUUUUCCAUACUUUGCAGGGUAAUUCUGUCGGGUGCCAUGUCUGUUACAUGGCUAUACUGCUUCAUAAAAGCUUGUGCUAAGUCUGUCUAUGAAUUGAUUUUAGCAUGACUCAACUGAUUGUAUCAUUUAGCUGCUGACCCGAUCAGACUAUCUUGGAAGCAAUGGAUUAACAGUUGAUCGUUAUUAACAUAUCCUGUCAUUCUUCGACAGAACAUUGUGAUGUGAACUUCAGGACAACUAGUCCCAUUGUACUUUUUAAACUCUGGAGUUUUAAAUUUUGGCGGGAGUAUUAGAUCAGGAACCAAACUCAGAUCCCUAGCGUCAAUCCUACAACAGAAGUCAACAUUCUCCAUUGCUUUCAAUUUUUCCUCCAACCACCUAUACCGAUCCUCAAGCUGUCUUGGCAAUUCCCUCUUUGCUUUUUCUAUUUCAUCUAGAUUAGGAACCUCAAGAUUGGUUGGGCUGCCCCCCGGAUUAGAGCCUGAGCCUAUCGGGUAAUCCACCGGUGUAGAAGUACCGACCUGAUAUUGCUGAUUUUUGAUAAUAGGUAUACCUUGCGGAUAUGUCUGAACAUUUUUGGGGUGAAACUUGGAGGGUAGAGAGGCUCCUCAUUGUCCUUCCCAUAUUGAUCAUGGAACUUUUCCUUUCUUCAAGCCCCUUUGUCAGCAAUUGAGACAACUGGUUCAACAUAUUCCUUUGAGACUCUAGCAGCAGAUCUCUCAUAUCCUUCCUAAUCUUCGCUAGUUGCUCUUGCAUCUGUUUUUGUAACUGGUCUUGCAUCUCUCUUUGAAGUUGUUCAAGUUUUUCCAAUCUUUGGUCCAUAUCUUUUGUCUUAGCACGGGUGUCAUAACGACACUUGGUUGGUAAAUUUUUAUUGGUUCCCAGAUUAACUGAAAUAAUUUCAACUAAUUAGGGACCCUUUUAUGAAAAUCUUAUGCAAAUGAUGCAAUGAUGCGAUACAAUGCAAAUGCAUGGGAUGAAUGAAAAAGAAAGAGAGGUGUUGAUUUUUAAUUUAAUUCCAUUAGAGCAACUUUUCUAGAAAACAAAUUCCUUUACAUAAAAUGGAUUACAUAUACAGCCUUGCUUUCAUAUUCCAAGCGAAGACACCGAUCUUUUUUCUUCGUGAAAUCCAAAUCUCGCAAACCUCCAAUAAAUGCAUCCACUAGAUCCUCUUUGCUUGAUCCAGGCCACGAUUCAUUAUCCUCAUGAUGUUGAUUAACUCCGUUAAGAAAAUUGAGACGCGCCGGCUCUCGAAAAAUCUUUAUCAUCUUGAAUCUUCAGGUAAAGACUUGUUUUUUCUCCACGAACUGUUAACCUUCUUCCGUCAAUUCAGACAACCGUAUUAUAAUCCACUUUAUCAGGAAAUUCAUUUUCUUAUGACAAACUAUUCUAUUUAGCAAUCAAAUAUGAAUCAAUGCCUCCCUUCUAUGAUGAUGUAACACAAUGCAGUUAUAAACAAAACAAAACAAAACACAUUAGUACAGGAGAAAUAAAUAACAAAUAAUGUACCUAUUCGCAUGACCACUAAACUUGGGCAAGCUUCUACCUAAGGUGGACUCUCAAAAUUCACUAUAUACGGCUCAGUUCUAGAGUAAAGGUUCCCGAACCAGCAAAUUCCUCAAUCCUCACCCAUUAUAGGCUCAUACGAAUCGAGUUUGGCUCAGGGGAAUACAUUUCCUUAUGACCAUGCAGAGAUGAAAAUCUCUCGAAAUCAUAGGUACGGAUGUAUCCCGGAAGUAAUCCACUAGCCCAUUUAGAGGUGAAAACCUCACGAAGGCAUAGCUUCUCACUCCCACUUAAAGUUAUAACCACAGCGGUCAUGCAAUGCAAUGCAAUAUUAUUCUACAAGACCCACCACCAUACCAACAAAUGCAAUCAAAAUAAUCAUGAGUUUCAAAACAAGCUUUCAAUUCCUUGACAAAAGGACAACAAAUAAUCAAUUUCAUGGCCUGACUCUCUUUGCUCAAUCCCUAGUGGAGUCGCCAAGCUGUCGAAACCAUUUUUCGACUUUUAAAAUCGAAAAUAUGAGUCGCCACCAAUCUUUUGUUUAGGUGUGACUGGAUCACCUAAUAAAAUAUUUUGUUCCACUUAAAACAAUUUUGUAAAAUUUUUAAAAAAUGGGUUCGAGAGUCGUUUAUGCGUGAGGAAGGGUGAGCACCCUCGUUACGCCCAAAAAUUGGUACCAGAUUGAUUCAAUGCUAUCCUUAUAUCAAAGAUUUUAAAAAGGGUCUUUCAAAAUAUGGUUCUUUUAAAAAUGUUUGAGUAGUUCAAGUUAGCUGUCAAAAUUCUCUCGUGUCAAAGAUAUGCAGCAUCAUAUCCAGCACGAUUGGACACGAUCCUUUAUACCUUCAAAAAUACGAUUGAUUUUUGACUUUCUAAAGCUCGUACUUUAAAAUUAUAAAAGGAUAUCCAAAUAUUUAGUUCAACGAAAAAUCAUACCCAGCACGGUAGGGCACAAUUUCCCGAAUUCUCAAAUAUUGAAUACUGCCUUAUUUCAGAACUUUUGAAUAAUAAGGAAUAUGGGAAAUUAGCUCAAAAUGCUUUAAUUUUUCUUGAAAUAAAAACGAGAAAACUAAUAUCAAUCAAAAUAUUGAAAUUUGAAUCACGAUGCAAUAAUAUAGAAAAAUCAAAGUUACAAACAUGGAUUACUAUACAAAAUAUUAUACAAGUAAACAAAAAGAACAAAUUAACAUACACGCAAUAGCAAUGAGCUCGCAUCCAAGAAACUAAUUAGAAAGAAAUAUAACAAGUUUCGAACAUAGAUGGACAAAAAUUUAAAUAAUAGUGCAAAAGGUUAAUAAUCAAUAUAAAAUGAUAAUACAUGAAACAAUAUGAAAACUAAAACAACACAUAGCAUACAAAACAAUUUGGAAAUAAUUUGAAAACUAUUAAAAAUAUGAAAAUUUACAAAAUGAACAACACAUGAUUGGGUUUGAAAUAAUGUACAUAUAUAAAAAUAAAACUAAUAAUAUGUAAAUGAGUAUUUAAAUAAAUAUUGUGAAAGAAGAAAUUUGGAGCCAAAAACAUAAAAAAACUAAUCUAUUAAAGGUGAUAAUGUACAUGCCAUAAUAGAAAAAAUCAAUGUACACAAUAUAUAAUGGAAAUAUAAUAAAAUAAAGGAUAAACAAUAUACAUGAAAAAUAACAAACCAAUAUAUAAUAAAACAAUAUAUACAUGAGAGAAUUUUAAAUAACAAAGAAAUAAUAAUAUAUGUAUUUUUUAAAGAAUAAAUUAUAUACAUAAUAAAUUUAAAAGGAUAUACAAGUAAACAUAUUUAAAAGAAAUUAUAUAUAUAAUAACAUAGAAUUAAUAGUGUUUAUAAUAUAAAACUAAUUUUAAUAUAAAUUAUAUUUUACUAAUAUAUAUACAUAAGGGUAGUUGAAUUAAAUAUUAUGGAAAAAUUUCAAACAAUAUGAUAAUAUAGAAUAUCUUAAAAUAAUAACUAUAUAAUUUAAUAAAAAAAACAAAUGUAGAUGAAAUAAUAGAUUGAAAUGAAGUAAAAAAAAAUGAUUAGAGCAAUUCAAAUUGUAUAUAUAAAUAAUUUUCUAAAGAAAUGAAUAUUAAAAAAAUAUAUAUUGAGAUGAAAGAAAAUUUAAUUGAAGUAAAAUCAAACUUAAAAAUAUAAUUAAUAAAAAAACCUAUUGAAAUAAUGACUAAAUUAUAGUACGCUCGAACGUUCAGGGAUCAAAACUGAAAAUAACUGAGAUCCCAAAACACGGCGCCUAGAUGCAUACCUAAUUCCAAAGACAGGCAAAUUCCAGGGACAAAUUGUAACAAAAUAAAAUGUAAAUAAGGAUCAAUUUAAUGGUCUGCGCGAGGACAAAGGACUAGUCGCGCAAUUUGACCAUUCGAAGUGCCAAAGCGCAGAUACAGUACAUGGAUUGGAUGUACACGCGGAUUUUCACCCUUUUCUACACGGCACCUCUUCAAAUAUUUCAUAAAAAAAACCUAAAAUGAAUCCCUAAUUUUUCUAAACAAAAUCAAAACAAAGAACCCUUCCCAUCUCUCUCUCAUUCAGCCGAACCUGACGGUUCCUUGCCCCAUCGCCGUUUUGCUUCCAUAUUUUAGCCUGUGGACAUCGUGUGAAGGCCUAAUCUUCCCCCGUUCGAACACGAAUCCGAGAGUUUUGCUAGGCUUAACCUCAAUCCUCAUCUAGGCUUCGACUACCACGAAGCAAACAAGGAUUUCAAAGCCUUUUCGAGAAGAUAAGUAUCUACGCCUUUAUUUAUUUGUUUUUUACUUACAAUAAUGAAAAUCAAAGUAGAAAUAGAAGCCAAAUCAAGAGAAAAAACGGGACUUAAAAUCACCUCUUGGAAACUGUUUUUGAAUUCAUUUCUCUAUUCAAACUUUUUGUAUAGAUUUGUAUGCAUAUCUUCGAUCCCCUUUUUACAGUACAAAUGAUGGCUUUUUAUAGCCGGAUUUUACAGCAUAAAAUAAAAGAAAAAUAAAAACUCUAUUUUCUUGUUGUCAUUUGCUGUUAUCUGCUACUUGUUAUUAUGGUUGUUAGUCUGUUGCAGGUACAAAGGUAGUGGUGGUGCUGACAUGGCGAAGCCGUUCGUGGGGAACUAAUUCCAGGCGAGGCUGAGGCGCAAACUUUCCUAGGGUUUCAGUUCUUGAAACCGAAGUUUAGGACUAUGAUUUGGGCCACUGUAAUGGGCUAUUAGCUUAGUUAAGGAUUUGGGUUUAUUGUUGGAUUAAUAAAUGUAAAUGGACUGGACUUUUAAAUUAUUUUGGUUUUAUUUUAUUUUUAUCUUUUUGUUUUAUUUUUUUGGUUGUGGGCCCGGGCAAAUUUGAGCCUAUACAAGAUACAAAUACAUAUUAUAUAUUCAGAUAUGCAAAAUCCUACCCUCAUCCUCUACACAUCAUCUCCGACCAUCCCAUCACACUAUGUGGGGUUUAAAACACCCACCCAGCCCUACACACCACGUUAUGCCCUUAGGGCACAUAUCAGAAUAUAUACAUCCAAGCUAGCAGAAAAUAGGCAUUUAAUGCCAAACAGAAUACUUCCUCCAUACAUAAAAAUCCUGACCAAUAACAGAUACAUAAAUUAGAUAUAGAAUAAUAGAUUAACAUGCUCAACAUGCUUGUAAACAAAUGUCGAAAUAAUCAGACAUGCAUAGUAUUAUCACACUCAAUACAGAAUAUCAGACUACCAAAUUCACAGUUUUAGGGUUUGGUUAGCCAUUACUAACCCUACGGUAGGCCCACAGUCAAUCGGAGUGACCUGUGCGACCCUAGGGAGAAUUUCAGAAUUAUAGGCCAAUAUGCUUGUGUGACAUGCUCGUGUGGCCCACACACCCAGAUCGCCUUUGCCCGUAUGGCCCACAUGGCCUGGCUUAAAAUACAUAUAUCCUUGUGACAUGCCCGUGUGGGCCCACACACCCGUGUGGCUUACACGCCUAACUUGGCCUUGCCCGUGUGGCCUACACGGCCACACUCGAGUCACCAACUAGCCGUGUGCAACGCACGACCAUGCCUUCAUUGAUUACAUGAUCGUGUCUUGCACACGGCCAGACACAAAGGCGACUACACGCCCCGUGUGGCGUCGAUAGAUUUGUUUUUCGGCUUUUACCGAAGCCUUAUUUUUCGCAUUUUGGGUACACACCUGGUAAUGUUUUGAUACGAAAGGAUCCCCACACCGCUUAACACCUAAGAUUGAACACAAAACACCAACUCUUUGAAUGCCUCCAACUACAAUUCCCCGAAAGAUACUUCCUAUUCUUCAUGAUUCGCUACCAACGUACCACCGCCUUGAAUUAUAGAAGGUAAUUUUUUUCCCAAUAUGAGAAAGAAACAAAAAAAAAGGAAAAAGAAGGGAAAAUGCAGAAAGAGGAAUAGUAACAUCAGAUUUUCGAAAAGAGAAAAUUUGGGAAAUAAAUUUUACCCAAGCCCCAUUACAUCCAUAAUCCUAACCACCCACUACUCAGAAUUCUAUUAAAAUCGAAACUCUAUCACAAAUUUGAGCAAAAAUAAUACCCAUGCCUACACUGGGAUUCGAA
rnacentral:lncRNA from 1 species